UCGGCAAAUAUCAACAGAAUAUAUCUGGUGGCCCGUUUAAUCGUCAUUUGCCAUUUCAGCAGCACAGCUCUUAACAGAAGCCAAAAAAAAAAAUUUAUCCCUAGCUUAAACACUACUGCUCUUGUUUUAGAGGAUUAGGGUUUUUCCAUUUCUGUUUCAUCAACAAUGGAGGCCUCAAAGGAGCAAGAAUCCACUGGAUUACUCCACAAGAUCCUCCCUCCACGCCUCGAAGACGCGGGCCUUGAGGACUGUGCUCUCCCUCAUGAGUCCAUUAAAGAAGCUUUCUUCAAAG
rnacentral:misc_RNA from 1 species